UUUCCAUCCUGAUCAAUCUCAAACCCUUGAUUUCGAUUCCCUUAUGUCUCCCCAACCUCAAUCCCCCUCCGCCACCACCACACCGCCGCUGCCUCCGUCGCUUCUUCAACUCUCCUUCAACCAAGACCACGCCUGCUUCGCCGCCGCCACAGACAACGGCUUCCGCAUCUACAACUGCGACCCAUUCCGCGAACUCUUCCGCCGCGAAUUUGGCGGUGGAGGAAUCGCUCACGUUGAGAUGCUUUUCCGCUGCAAUAUCUUAGCACUUGUUGGUGGCGGCUCCCACCCUCAGUAUCCUCCUAACAAAGUCAUGAUCUGGGAUGAUCAUCAAGGUACUUGCAUCGGUGAACUCUCCUUCCGUGCCGCUGUUCGUGGUGUUCGAUUGCGUCGUGAUCGGAUAAUUGUGGUUGUGGAACAGAAGAUAUUUGUUUAUAAUUUCGCUGAUCUGAAGCUGUUGCAUCAGAUUGAAACUAUUGCUAACCCUAAGGGUUUAUGUUCAGUUUCACAUGUUUCUGAAUCUCUUGUUCUUGCUUGUCCUGGUUUGCAUAAGGGUCAGAUUCGUGUGGAGCAUUUUGCACUGAAAAAAACUAAGUUUAUUUCUGCUCAUGAUUCCAGAAUCGCUUCGUUUGCUCUCACGCUUGAUGGACAGUUAAUCGCCACUGCCAGUGUCAAGGGUACGCUCAUUCGGAUUUAUGAUACUGAUAGCGGCACCCUACUUCAGGAAGUAUGUGCUAAUUGCUCUUACUUACAUUUGUGUAGUUUUUUUCUUGAUAAUUAGUUAUGUUUCUUUUAUUGGAUUAGAUGUUAUUAAGGUUUAAUGUCUCUAUUUGUUGUUUUAUUUUUGUUCUAUGGUGUGGAGAUCUGAUUUUUGUGUGUGGGUAAUUGAGACAUUUUGGUUUUUCUGUGAAUUUCUUGGAUGUGGAUUUUAGGUUAGAAGGGGUGCAAAUGCAGCAGAGAUAUAUAGUUUGGCGUUUUCCUCCACAGCUCAGUGGUUAGCAGUUUCAAGUGACAAGGGCACUGUUCAUGUCUUUAGCCUUAAGGUUAAUUCAAGCGGUGUUCCUGAGAAUGAAACAUCACAAGGUUCAUCAUCUAGUUCAGAUGCUGCCAUUGUCCCUUCUAGCUCAUCUCGCUCCUUCAUUAAAUUUAAAGGUAAAAUAUUUUGUUGCUUUUUUAUUAACUUGAAGAGUAUUUCUUUCUAGGGUUUUGCAAUGGUUAAGGUAACCAAAAUUAGUAGCUUUAUAUUGGAAACAACAAUUUAUAAAAAUUUUACAAGUUGACUUGACUACUUUUUAUCAUUUUUCCAACACAAAAUUUCUAUUUUUGUUCCUUUAUCCAAUGCCACAAGGGCAAUGGUUAGCAUUUCCCUUCUUUCUAUUUGACAACCUAUUUAGUGGGAUAAGACUUGGUUGUUAUUGACUAUUUCUUUCUUUUUGUUAACCAAGAAUGAGUUUGAGAUGCCCAUGUUUUCCUUUUAUGAUUUUUUUUUCCCUUCUCAUUUGCAAAGAGAAAUAGUGUCAAUUCAAUUCUCUUUUUUCUUGUUGAUCGACUGUUACUAUGCGCCUUCAGGAGUGUUGCCCAAGUAUUUCAAUUCAGAGUGGUCAGUUGCUCGGUUUCACUUGCAUGAGGGUACUCAGUACACAGUUGCUUUUGGUGUACAAAAGAAUACAGUCAUAAUUCUUGGCAUGGAUGGAAGGUAUGAUACAAGGAAAUGACAAAAAAUAUAGCUUGUAUAUAAGUUUAGUCUUUUAGAUGAUAGCUAUUCUAUUAAUAUAAGACACUGUUAGUUCUAUUAAUAGUAAAAAAAUUGAUAAAUGUUAUUACUUUUAAGUAUUACUUAGUUGAGGAUUUAAAGAAUGACCAUGUGAACCAAUUUUUUGUUUGCUACUACUGUCAUACUUACUAUUUUGCUCUAAAUUGAAUAUGUAAUAUGGAAAAAGUUGCUCUAAAUUGAGCUUGUCUGAAAAGAGAGCGACUGAAUAAGGGUGCGGUCACCUUUAGUUUUUUUUUUUGAGUUAAGAUCAUAAUGUAUUUUAAUGUAAUACUGUCCCAAAUUUAUCUUCACGAUUCAAUUGAGAAGUUAGCUCUGAGAUUAUUCGACCACAAGAAUUGAAUGAAAUAGAAAGAAUACUUUAUUUAAGAAACACGAUAGAAUAAGAGAGAAUCUUUCCUCCAAGAGUUUCCCCUUCACAAUAGAGAAUACUCUAUUCACAAAGACGAUAUUCAAAGGUGCUCUCUACCCUUUGUGCUCUCUUAUUUUUACACAUACUUUCUAUGACAAUCUCAACUAACUAACUAACUUCUAUAACAAUUAUUAACUGCUUCAACAAUUCCAAUUUCCCUUUAUGCUAUAAUCCUUACAAAAGAAUUAGGUGUUCCACAUAUAAUUUUGUUCACGUGGGUUGGAUUAGUCUUGUGCCUCUUUAGAUAAAUCCUUUCCUAUUAAUCUAUGCAUUGGGUAUUAUUUUUUUUUGGGUAUCCCAAAUAAAGGUGAACGUUUAUGUUAUAUGAUCUUAAUGAUUUACAUUUGAUUAUUCUCUGCAGCUUCUAUAGAUGCCAAUUUGAUGCAGCGAAUGGAGGGGAAAUGACCCAGCUGGAACAUCACAACAUUUUAAUUCCAGAAACUGCUUUAUGAGAUGAAAUCCUGUAGCAUUUGACGCUUAUCUUUUAGUUAGGGUUAUUCUACAGGAAUAUUCACCGUGUAAUAAUAUCAGAAAUAGAUCGAGAGUGUAAUUAUUAAUAGAUGGGUGGUUGAAGUAACGCUGACACCGUUAUUGUUUACUCUGUGUCGACUAGUUGCUUCCAUUGUAAUUUUGUAAUUAUAUAAUUCACUAAAUUUUUAACUUAUAAAUAUUGAAAGCUGUUGCGAAGCAAGCAAACACUUUCCUAACAACUUAUCAAUUCCUUUCAAACCAAUAUAUAUAUUUUUACAUCAUAAUAAAAGCAUGGCGGAGUGUUUGUCAAAAUGAUUGACAACUGCCAUAGGAGAACAAAUUUGCAGGAAUAGGAAAGCCCUUAUAGAUACACCGAUUAUAUUUGUGGUGAGAUAUUGCCACUCAAAUAUGCCAAGAUAACCUUUUUAACGCCCCUGCAGAUUCAGUUCAGAUUCUAUUUGUUUGUCCCACAUUCAUUACAUUUGAUUAUUCUCUGCAGCUUCUAUAGAUGCCAAUUUGAUGCAGCGAAUGGAGGGGAAAUGACCCAGCUGGAACAUCACAACAUUUUAAUUCCAGAAACUGCUUUAUGAGAUGAAAUCCUGUAGCAUUUGACGCUUAUCUUUUAGUUAGGGUUAUUCUACAGGAAUAUUCACCGUGUAAUAAUAUCAGAAAUAGAUCGAGAGUGUAAUUAUUAAUAGAUGGGUGGUUGAAGUAACGCUGACACCGUUAUUGUUUACUCUGUGUCGACUAGUUGCUUCCAUUGUAAUUUUGUAAUUAUAUAAUUCACUAAAUUUUUAACUUAUAAAUAUUGAAAGCUGUUGCGAAGCAAGCAAACACUUUCCUAACAACUUAUCAAUUCCUUUCAAACCAAUAUAUAUAUUUUUACAUCAUAAUAAAAGCAUGGCAGAGUGUUUGUCAAAAUGAUUGACAACUGCCAUAGGAGAACAAAUUUGCAGGAAUAGGAAAGCCCUUAUAGAUACACCGAUUAUAUUUGUGGUGAGAUAUUGCCACUCAAAUAUGCCAAGAUAACCUUUUUAACGCCCCUGCAGAUUCAGUUCAGAUUCUAUUUGUUUGUCCCACAUUCAUGCCGUCGCUAUGGGGCUCUUAUACAGGCAUUAAACAUUCAUUUCCUCAGAAAUUUGCCUCGUUAUUUAUUAUGUAACUAAACUAGAAACUGGAUAAAAUAGGCACUGCCACUUUAUACACCUAUCUCAACGAUGCUAGCAAAUACAUAAGCAGACAAAUGCUGGUCAGGCUCUCAAACACCAACCAGUUUCAAGGUUGAUUCAGACAUGAACAUAAACAAUCUUAUUCUAUUUUGUUGUGAAGUCUUACAAAAUGUUGUUUAGUGAAAAACGAUUUGUUUAUUUUUUUUUUUCAUAUGACAAUUUAAAUCUUGGUUGUGUCUACUUAUCUUAAAGAUAGAGGGAGACGAAUCAAAUUUUAGCUACCAUAAGAUGCUGAUAAAAAAGAAACAACUCUAAAGCAUCACACCUUCAGUACGUUCAAAUUUCUCAUUUUGAUUCCAAAUUUCAUACUCACCUUUUCAGUACCUUCUAAGGAAUAAAUAACACCCACGCCUCUCUUCCACCAUGGGAAGCAUGACACAACACCUAAAGCACCGAAUAACUUCCAUUCUCCUCGGUUUCAUUUUCAAGGAUUUUAUUCGUCUUGUUCUUUCUCAUCGCUCAACAUCUAAAGCCAAGGACCAGGUAUCUUCCAUUCAUGUUGCUUUGAUUCAUUCUUGUUGCUUUGUUUCUUUUGACCCACAAAUCAAAACACACCUGAAAGUGCAAGUUGCCGGUUAAUGUGGAGGCUCUUCAAGUAAUGCAGUAUUUAUUAGGAUUUUCAUCUCAACUGUUAAAUUUUAUAUCAUGUACCAUGAGUUAGACAUCAUACUUUUGCCGGCAAUGGCGAGUUGAUUUAGUGAUGGUGUUUUUGUAAACUAAAUAACCUAAUACCAGCUCAUUGAUAUCAAUGACAAUAUUUUCAGGAUGCUCAACAUCUGUAGGAGCUUAACAGGAAUACUGACCCCAUAUGAGUUACUUUCUCAGUGAAUGAGCUAUCAUUUGUACCAUCCUUCAAUAAAUACAUAUUGUAGCAGAGCAGCUCCCUAUCAGAAGUAACUGCUAUGUUGGUGUUCUAUGUCAACUUACAAGCUACAUGAAAAUACUGGGAGAGUGAGCACUAUGCCAAGAGUUCACUGCCAUGCCUUUGAUGCUCAACCUCCACAGAACUACAUCCUAAGUCCUUAGUCAGUCCUCUUUCUUUCAUCAUUCCUCUUAUCCUCUCAACAUCGCUCCAUCUUCCGGCCUCUGCAUACAGAUUUGACAGUUGAACAUAAUAGGCAGUGUUAUAUGGCUCCAACUCAACCAAUUUUGUAGCCGCAAACUCACUGAAUUCCAAGUCAUCACGAGAUUUCGAACCAAGCAAUAAGGAUCCCCACAUAGCUGCCGUCGGCUCAAACGGCAUACAUUUGAUGAUGUCAAAAGCCUCUUGCAAUUGACCAGCACGUGCCAAGAGAUCAACCAUACAAGCAUAGUGUUUGACAUUAGGAAGAAAUCCAUACUUUCCAUCAACCAACAUACUAAAGAUAAAUCGACCCUUUUCCACCAAACCCGAAUGACUACACGCAGAAAGAACCGUGACCAAAGUCACUUCAUCCGCUCUAACUCCAUCCAACUCCAUCCUAUUAAACCACAAAAGAGCCUCCUCAACACUCUUAGCCAAAGCUAACCCUUUAAUAACAACAUUCAAAGUAAACACAUUCUUUUCCUUCAUAUCACAGAAAACCUUCAACCCCUCUUCCACUCUCCCACACUUGACAUACAUAUCAAUCAACGCCGUCCCCAAAAUCACAUCCAAUUCCCACCCAUUCCUCCUCACCAUAUCAUCUAUCCACACUCCCAUUUCAAUAGCACAAGAGCUAGCACAAGCAGACAAAGCAUUCACCAUCGUCACCCUAUUCGGCACCACACCCCCAUACUGCAUUUGUUCAAACACAAGCAAAGCAUCAUUAUACUUCCCACCGUUCCGAUAACCCAUUAUCAUUACAGUCCACGACACAACGUCUCUCUGAGGCAUUUCAUCAAACAGUUGGCGACAAAGUUCCAAACACCCAUAAGAGGCAUAUACAUCAAGAAGAGAGUUAUUAACAUAAAUAUCAUUAACAUAACCGAGUUUAAUAACAUGAGUGUAUACACAUUGUGAUUGAACAAAGUCGUGUGAGUCGGAAAGUGAUUUAAAAAGAAAAGGGAAUGUGAAGUUAUUGGGGAGAAUGGAGUUUUUGUGCAUGUGGGAGUAUAGAGAGAGAGGGGUGUUGGGGAUAUGAGAAUGAGAGAAGGCUCUGAUGAGAGAGUUGAAGAUGAAAACGUGUGGUUUUGGAAUGAGGUGAGUGAAGAGAGGUGAAACAUAGUUGAGAAGGUUAUGGGAUUGAGAUGCUGUGAUUAAGUGCUCUGCGAUUGUUGUGUGUGAUUGAAGGUUGUGAAUUAUGAUUUGUGCUUGAAUUUGUUUUACAUGAAUUUGUGUACGGCAGAAACUUUUCAGCAGUUUUACCACUCUUUCUGCCAAACAACUCAUGUUCCCAUUCAUCUGUUUAGAGAGUAAUGAAAUAAAGAAGAAAAAAUGCAUCAAUCACUAUUUUAUAGGGUGGCAUUUUGCAUGCAAUUGUGCACCAUGCACAAACUGCUUUUUUUUUUUUUUGACAGAUGGAGGUUUUGGUGGGGUGGGGUGACUUGCUAAAAAUAAACCAUUAAUAAAAGAAAACAUAUUAUAAUGAAAAAUAUUGGUUUUAUUGUUUUUGCUAGAUACACCCUCCAAAACUUAAACAUUGAGAGUAGUAAUUCACACAUUUGUAACACAUCAGUACAGCUAGUUUCCCACUAGUUCUUUUUCCCAUUUUCUUCUUGCAUCUUCAUCGCCCCCAUCAUGUUCUUCAGAAUUUCAGAAAUGGUUACUCACCAUCAACAUUCACAUUAACUUAAAAUUGAUAUUCAUCAACAAAGUUGUUCAAUAUCAUUUCAUUUUCUAUUGAAGUUUGGAAAUUGCAUCUUAGUUUGGUUUUUAGAUCUGGAUUUAUUAAAUCUGUUGGUUGAUUUCUGAAAUCUUUAAACUUAAAGGUAUGUAUAAGACUUUCUUUAUUUUAGUCCUUCUAUCAUUUUGUGUAUUGAUAAAAUGUGUUAGUUGAUAUCUAGCUUAGCUUCUAGCUUACUUACAACUGUUUUUGUAUUUGAUUUCGUUUUUGUUUGCUUCCUUUCAAUCUUUUUGAUAAAGCUAGUUUUUUAAGAUGUUUCAACUUCCAAUCAAACCACACUUUACUCCAAAAAAAGGUUUGAUUGUUAACAAACGACACCACUAAUUGUCGUCAAGAUUAAUGGGUUGCUUAGAAAGGAUCUUGAUAUAUGCAUCGGUCAGCGCAAGCUAUUGUGAUCCCCAAUCAACAAAUAUGCCGCAUUCUUCAUCGACUAACCAAGCUUACACCUCUAACCCUAACGACAACUCUCACCCUAAUGACAAGUUUAUUAGACCUACCGUACUUCAAAGAUUUCAAAACGACUCAUCAAACUCAUAACUCUUACCCUAACUGGAAGAAUCUUGAGGUCAAAGUACUUGGAUGAACGUUCAAUGAUUAAUCAAACUCUUUAACGAUUAAUCAAGCCUGUAACUCUAACCCUAACGACAAUAGUCUUCGACCUAAACUGCUCUAAUAGUUAGAUCAAGAGGUCACAACGACUAAUCAAACCCACAACUCUUACCCUAACAACAAGAAUCUUAUGCGGAAAGUACCGGAUAAAUGUUAACUGAUUAAUCAAGAUAUUCACUACGUGGUUUGUAUUUAAUUAAUUUUAUCUUUAUUAUUAAAACUAAUUUAUAAAUUCAAUAUACAUAACAAAUUACAACUAUUUUUUAAACACAUUGAAAUGAAAAUAACAUAAUAAUACAUUAAUUAAAUAAACUCAAGAAUAAAAAAUGCAAAAACAAAUUCUUAAAAAUACAAAAACUCAAACUGGCUAACAAAUAAAUGUUUUGCGUAUUUUAAUGUUCAUUUACCUUAACCCAUUCAACAAUUAUAUACACACUUCGGUCACCAAAACAAGUGAAACUAAAUUUUUUAAAUUUAUUCAAUAAAUUAUCUAUGUGGUCUUUAAUAUACAUCACACACACUAUUAUAAAUAGUGACUGAACAAUCUAUUUAUUAUCCAACUAUUACACCCAAUGUGUUCUUAUUCUUAAUUUUCGAAAUAAAAAAUAAAUUCCAAUUACAAACGUUUACAUUACUUCUACUAAAAUUUUCAUCAUUUUCGAAUUUCCCAUUUAAGUAAAAAAUAUCUAAUUGCAGAAAUUAUAUUUUCGUUUUCUGUGGGAUUACAACAAAGUUUAGUGAUAUUAAGUGACAUUAACCAAUUGUAAGUGGGAUUACAACAAUGUUUAGUUAUAAUAAUAGCAAUUUUGGUUUUUUCUAGUGAUAUUAAUAGCAACUUUCGUAUUGCGCUAAUACAAAGACAAAAAUUAUAUUCAGCCCAUAGUCACUUAGUUCUAAAACAAGGGCCCAAGUCCAAUACACAAGUGACAAAAAACAGCAAUUAAAUAUUAUCAUUUAUUCUAGGCUUAAUUGCACUUUUGGACCCCUAUCUUUCCAAAAGUUGUGGUUAUGGACCCCUAACUAAUUUAAAUACAAAACAGCCCCCUAUGUUUUGAUUCUUUGACAGUUUUGGACCCCCAAGGCAAAAAAUAAAUAAAAAAUUUGACACGUGACACCUCACUUAGGGUGCCACGUCAGCGUGACCGAGUCNNNNNNNNNNNNNNNNNNNNNNNNNNNNNNNNNNNNNNNNNNNNNNNNNNNNNNNNNNNNNNNNNNNNNNNNNNNNNNNNNNNNNNNNNNNNNNNNNNNNGAAUCAAAACAUAGGGGGUUAUUUUGUAUUUAAAUUAGUUAGGGGUCCAUAACCGCAACUUUAGAAAGAUAAGAGUCCAAAAGUACAAUUAAACCUUUAUUCUAAUGGUUGGACCGCGUGUAUUGUUCACGCAGCAGGUUGCCCAUGCCUUUCUCUCUCCAAAUCUUAACGGUCAGCAUUAAAAUAAUAAUAAAUAAGCGAUUCAGAUUUAAUUUAGGGUCAUUUUCACACAACUUUUGUAUGGUGUACAAAUUUUUUCCUUGUGCAUCGUAAACCUUACAUAAUUUUUUUUGUAAAAAAAGUGGGAAAAAGAAAAUGCGCAUCCAGGGAAUCGAACCCUGGUCAGCACCGUGGAAGGGUACUAUGAUACGUCUACACCAGAUGCACUUAAUAUUAAUAAUGAUGAAAUAUUUUAAUACUCUGUCAAUGAUUUCUCUGAUUAUUAUUACACGUUUUGCAGUGUCUAUAUUUUGAAAGUGUAGUGAUAUUUGAACAGCCAUUUUUUAUAAUCACUUUUUUUUUUUUUUUUUUUUAUGAUAACUGAACACGUUUUUUCACACAAAUACCAGACACCAAUGGCAAAACAGUAAAUGAUUAUAAACAAAGGGGGUAACUUGGUAUUUUCACUCCCCUUCUUCCCUUCAUCGUCUUCUUCUCUUCCCAGAUCUCUCUUUCACCAUUACCACCACCUUCACCAUCACAGCAUUCGUCUUCACCAUCACCACCACCAUCCUCACCACAACUCCAUCACGCCGUCCUUACCACCGUCGCCGUCAUCCAUCACCACAUUCGUCGUUUCAUCUCGUCUUCAAUAAUAGAUCUGACCUUCGAUCUCGUCUUCUCCAUCACGCCGUCGGCGACCUUCGCGUUACCAUCACGCCGUCGGUGACCUCUGUCGCUCUCUCUUGUGACCUCUGUCGCUCUCUCUCUCUCUCUCUCCUGUCUCACGACCAGUGUCUCUCACGGUGUGCAUUCGAACGUCGCCGGUGAGUGACUUGCUUAGAAACAGUGACAAAGAAUAGCAACUGUGUACAGGGAAGGAAAAGGGAAAAAAGGG
rnacentral:lncRNA from 1 species